UACGUAGGGGGCAAGCGUUGUCCGGAAUUAUUGGGCGUAAAGAGCGCGUAGGCGGUCCGGUAAGUCGGUUGUGAAAGUCGGGGGCUCAACCCUCGGAUGCCGAUCGAUACUGUCGGGCUAGAGUCCGGAAGAGGCGAGUGGAAUUCCUGGUGUAGGCGGUGAAAUGCGCAGAUAUCAAGGAGGACACCAAUGGCGAGGCAGAC
rnacentral:rRNA from 1 species